UGCAUUGGUAACAGUAGUUGGGUGUAUUAGUCUUUCAACAUUUUUGGUUUUCAUACAGCACGCUUGCUGUCAAUGUAGCAUUAUUAAAAUAAAAAUUCGUCAACCAUUUGAAAGGAAUCAGCAAGAUGGGCAAAAUACUAAAUACUUCAAUACACUAACGGAAGAAUACAAUUGGAUAAGCGACAUUGUAAAUCGUCAUAGAAUAUCUUUUGAAUUCUUCAAUUUUCGGUAUUAUUAAAAACUCUAGAAGAC
rnacentral:lncRNA from 1 species